AAGUUUUAAGUUUUGAUCGCCCUGAAAGCAAACUAUCGUACCUUUGCUUCAGGGUGACCAAAAUAAGGUAUCAUCAAAUCAUUUAAU